UUUUGGCUAAAAAAGAUAAGUGAAGAUAUAUUUGGACUUCAAGAUAAAAUGAAGGUGUAUAAAUCCGUUUUAAGAGAGUAAAUGGGGGACUUUUAGAAACGUUUUAGGUUAAGUGGAAAAAGAAAAAAAAAAUACAUCAGGAGGCAACCGAGUGAGUUGAGUGGCAACUUUAGCUUCUUUUGUUUAGUGAGGAACUCUGAGAGAUUGAAGAAAGAAGGAGCAUCCAACAAACCGGAAGCAACCCUUUGGAAGCCAAGGUAAGGGGAGAAACCAAAUUUCUCAUGUUGUGUAUAUGUGUUAUGCAUUGUAUCAUUGGUUUUGAUGAGUGUUUUAUGCCGUAAGGGGAGUAACCUAGAAUUAUCUUGUGUAUGUAGUGUUUGGUAUUCUAUGUUAAUUCUUAUUAUAUAUUGUGCUGUAUGUGGGUGGUGUUGUUCUUUCUCUUCUUGGUAUCACUAGGGAUGAUGAGGGAUGGGUUGAGAGAAUAACGUAAAUGUAGGGUGAAGUAUUUCUGGGUUAGUUGGGUAAAGGUAGAAAGGGUUAUGUAAUACGGGAUAAAGUUGAAGUGUGGUUGGUGGAAGCAAAGAGGAGAGGAAUGACUUGUGGAGGAACCAUGGAUUUAAUAGGACGUUAAGUGAGAGUGAGGAUGGGAUUAUGGACAAUGAUGAUUUGGUAAGGAUGACUCUUUCGAUCGUGUGAUGCGGGAAAGAAAUCCACUUCAGCCGUGUAAUGCAGGAAGAUGAUGAUUUGCUAGUGAUGACUCAUUCGGCCGUGUGUUGCAGGAAAGAAAUUCUCUUCGACCGUGUGAUGCGGGAAGAUGAUGGUUUAAUAGUGAUAACUCUUUUGGCUCUGUGAUGUGCAAAAGAGGUUCUUGUUGGUCGUAUGGUGUGGGAGGACAGUGUCGUGUGACUCAUAAUGAAUUGAUUAUGGAGAUUAGGUGGUGUGGUAGUGUAAAGGAAAUAAACCAUUGGGAUGUGAUGUCAAUAUGGUGAGCUUAUUAUUGUGAUGUUAAUAUUAUGAUGUUAAUGUUGUGGUGAUAUAUGUUUAGGAUUUGGUUAUUAAUGUGGUUAAUAUAAUUGUAUAUUGUAUGAUAAGAUAAUUCUGGUUGCUCACCUUGAAAGUUGUGGUUGUGGUUUCCACCUAUGAUGAUCGUACUUGUACGGGAGUAGAUGGUUUGCAAAUAAGAUCGAAUCUGAGUAGCUGACGGGAGUUAGGAUGUUAGGUUCGGGAUCUUUUAUUUACUUUCUAUUAUUUAAAAGUUUUU
rnacentral:lncRNA from 1 species